AUUGAACGCUGGCGGCAGGCUUAACACAUGCAAGUCGAGCGCGCGGCGGACGGGUGAGUAAUGUCUGGGAAACUGCCUGAUGGAGGGGGAUAACUACUUGAAACGGUAGCUAAUACCGCAUACAAUCAGAUGUGCCCAGAUGGGAUUAGAUAGUAGGUGGGGUAAUGGCGCACCUAGGCGACUAUCCCUAGCUGGUCUGAGAGGAUGACCAGCCACACGGGAACUGAGACACGGGCCAGACGCCUACGGUAGGCAGCAGUGGGGAAUAUUGCACAAUGGGCGCAAUCCUGAUGCAGCCAUGCCGCGUGUGUGAAGAAGGCCUUCGGGUUGUAAAGCACUUUCAGCGAGGAGGCGUUACUCGCAGAAGAAGCACCGGCUAACUCCGUGCCAGCAGCCGCGGUAAUAC
rnacentral:rRNA from 1 species